GGAGGAUCAUUAUCGUAGGGCUUCGGCCCUGUCGAGAUAGAACCCUUGCCUUUUUGAGUACCUUUCGUUUCCUCGGCAGGCUCGCCUGCCAAUGGGGACCUCAAAAAACACUUUGCAGUACCUGUAACAGUCUGAACAAACAAACAAAAAUUAAAACUUUCAACAACGGAUCUCUUGGUUCUGGCAUCGAUGAAGAACGCAGCGAAAUGCGAUAAGUAGUGUGAAUUGCAGAAUUCAGUGAAUCAUCGAAUCUUUGAACGCACAUUGCGCCCUUUGGUAUUCCUUAGGGCAUGCCUGUUCGAGCGUCAUUUAAACCUUCAAGCUAAGCUUGGUGUUGGGUGACUGUCCGCUUCACGGCGGACUCGCCUCAAAAUUAUUGGCGGCCGGUACAUUGGCUUCGAGCGCAGCAGAAACGCGAACUCGGGCCCGUCGUAUUGGCUCCCAGAAGCUAUCUUCACAAUUUUGACCUCGGAUCAGGUAGGGAUACCCGCUGAACUUAAGCAUAUCAAUAAGCGGAGGA
rnacentral:rRNA from 1 species